ensembl:lncRNA
AGCUCCAGCAGGCCUCACUGCAGAGCUCUGAGAGGCGUGUAUAUCAGGCUCAGUACUUUGCAUCCUGAGAGGCAACCACAGUGUGAGACAAAAUUAAAGAAAUACCAAAGGAUACCUGCAGAGUACAUCAUGUGGAAUGCUGGGCUGGAUGAAGCAUAAGCUGGAAUCAAGAUUGCCAGGAGAAAUAUUGAUAACCACAAACACAUGGAUGACACUACCCUUAUGGCAGAAAGAAGAAGAACUAAAGAGCCUCUUGAUGAAAGUGAAAGAGGAGAGUGAAAAAAUGGCUUAAAACUCAACAUUCAGAAAACUAAGAUCAUGGCAUCUGGUCCCAUCACUUCAUGACAAAUAGAUGGGGAAACAGUGGAAACAAUGAGACUUUGUUUUUUGGGGCUCCAAAAUCACUGCAGAUAGUGACUGCAGCCAUGAAGUUAAAAGACACUUGUUCCUUGGAAGAAAAACUUGACCAACCUAGACAGCAUAUUAAAAGGCAGAGACAUUACCAACAAAAGUCCAUCUAGUAAAAGCUAUGGUUUUUCCAGUAGUCAUGUUAUGGAUGUGAGAGUUGGACUAUAAAGAAAGUUGAGCACCGAAGAAUUGAUGCUUUUGAACUGUGGUAUUGGAGAAGACUCUUGAGAGUCCCUUGGGCUGCAAGGAGAUCAAACCAGUCCAUCCUAAAGGAAGUCAGUCUUGAAUAUUCAUUGGAAGUACUGAUGCUGAAGCUGAAACUCCAAUACUUUGGCCAUCUGAUUCGAAGAACUGACUUAUUUGAAAAAACCCUAAUGCUAGGAAAGAUUGAAGGUGGGAGGAGAAGGGGACGACAGAGGAUGAGAUGGUUGGAUGGCAUCACCUACCCAAUGGACAUGAGUUUGGGUAAACUCCGGGAAUUGGUGAUGGACAGGGAAGCCUGGUGUGCUGCAGUCCAUGGAGUCACAAAGAGUCAGACAUGACUGAGCGACUGAACUGAACUGAAAGGAUACCAACAUUUUCAGGAAGUCUUUUUUUUUUUUUUAACUUAUUUCUACCUCAUUUGGCUUCAAAAGAGGAUUUGGGGUAGCUCCAGGGAUACAUGUAAUGCAACAGAAUAAAAGUAAAAUAGAUGAGAAAGGCAGAGGAACAUAAGGGUAGAAAAAGAUGAAAUCAGAGUCAACACCGUACACGAAAUGUCUAUCUUCAGUUAAGCACGUGCAUUAGUAGAGGUGGGCUGCACACUUGGGUCUGAGCCUUCUCAGCUGCCACAGGAAAGAGUCCCAUCCUGUGGUGAGUUCACUGUACCAGUAAAAUAUAAAGUUUCCAGGGAUCGAGGUCUGAGAGAAGUCUCUUUUGUGGGUCUCCAUUUAGGGUACUUUCGUGAGGCAGUGGACACUGUUCCCAACCACAUCCCUUGCAAAAUACAAAGCUGUGUUUCACAAAGCUAUCUAUUGUAAUACUAAAAUGCAAAACAAUGAAGUUGGGCCCUUACCUCACACCAUAUACAAAAAUUAACUCAAAAUGGAUCAAACCCCUAAAAGUAAGCCCUAACACUAGAAAGCUCUUAGAAGAGACUUCCCUGGUGAUCCAGUGGUUAAGACUCCACGCUUCCACCCAGGGGAUGUGGGUUUGAUCCCUGGUCAGGGAACUAAGAUCCUCUAUGCCUCGUGGUAUGACAA